CCCAGGGAGAAAGAUUGCUCUGCUAGCUGUUAUUGAAACAGUAAUAAACUUGUUGCAUAGAAGACUUCGUAUGUUUAUUUUCUGGAGUGCAACAAGAUCCUGGCGAGUCUAUGUUUUGUGUCAUUGAGAAUCUAAAGAGGAAAGGAUGCACCUCUUAAUGUUUAACUGAAAAGCUCUCUGGCUGUGAAAAUGAGAAGAGCCUUGGUGCUGCACUGUGGAUUAAUUGUGCAGAGUGCCCUGAGCAUCGCUGCCUCCAAAGCAAGAGCUGUGUAAUAAUGUUUGCUUUUGCAGGAUACCAGCACAUCUGUCAGGCAGGCACAAGUAGAGGAAUGAGAGUGCGUGUGACCCUUGGACAUGCCAGCGUGGGGGCCACCUUCAGAUCCGCCCAGACCACACGGGGCUGUACACUAGUGCCUGGCAACAGAUAACAGGUAACCACACAAGUGCAGCCAGCUCAGAAGCAAUAUCAGCCACCCCUGAAGGAGUUAAUCAGCCUGUUUUGGAGGCCCCAGGAGGAGUGCCAUGGAGCUGAUGCAGUUUUGGUCAGGCUAGUCAUGGCUUAAAAAUACUGGAAGAUGUUGGUGAUGGGUGGACCUCAGUGCCCAGACUUGCAGGCAUUUAUCCACCUGCUUAGCACUAUUAAAUCUCUUCAGUUGAAGCAGGACUGAACAAUCAAUUUGAAAACUUCAAGCAAGAUUAGAGUGUAAAAACAGAGCCCAGGAAGAAAUCAGCAUCAUUCUCUGAGAAGUAAAAUGCUGAGUUCCAGAUAGCAUUAGUAGAGCAGAGAAAAAGUGCUGGCAGAAUGAGAACUGCUCAGGAUGAGUUUCACGUGUGUGCCCCGUGCAACCCAGCACAGGCAGCCUCUGCUAUCCAGAAUUUGAUUCUAUGUGCCCAGCCUAAGCUGCUGCCUUAUAAGAUUAAGCACCAAAAUUCUACUGGACUUAGUAGAGGAGCAUUGUUUCCUCUCUGUUCCGGAAAAUCCAGCCCUCAAGGAAAUGUUCUUCAGCUAAUAACAGACACCUGGAUUCAGAUACUCAGUAUGUGAAUUCAUAAAAAAAAAAAUGCAAAAAAAAGCCCAAAACAAAACAAAACAAAAACCCAAGGGCCACACUUAAUUACGUUUUCUUGUAUAAGGUUAUUAGUAUUUGAGGUGACAAACAGGAGAGAACUUUCCCUGAGCUGGGGCUGGAGGGAGAGAAACCAGCUAAGUUGAGCUAUGUGUUCACAUCCACCCAAAGUCUGACAAAGAGCUUGUGGUGCAAAGUCCCCUUUAAUUGUAAUUUGCAUGGCAAGAAAUUAAGGGUUUUCAUGCCUUAAGGCUUCUUCAUUGUUAGAGGGUGUAAGAAAGCCCAACCCUGCUGGUCUUACUUUAACAAGUAAGACCAGCAGGGUUGG